AAAGAAGCUGGACCCCAUAGCCCAAAGAUGGGUGGCCUGCCUCUGGAUCACAGCUGCCACUGUCCUGCUAGUCAAGAAUGCUAACAAAAUAACCAUAGGGUAAGAACUUGUUAUCACCACCUCCCAUACUAUUGAGGGGACCCUCAAGAAUCCAACACCACUGGUGCACUUUCGGGCUCUACUUUUGAAUCCCCCUUGCAUAAGAUAUAACCCAUCAUCUGCCCUAAGCCCAGCCACCCCACUACCUGACCCAUCCUCAAGACAUGCAGCAUGAUUGCUCUAUAGUUCUGGGGCACAUCCAGAACAUCAGGCUGGACUUGACUGACAUGCCCAGGCUAGACACAGAACAUAUCUACUUCACAUAUAGAAGCAGCCUCAUCCAGAAAGGGAUCAGGUAUGCAGCGAUGGUGGUUAUUUGGGCAACUGCUUUGCCACCCACUGGGAACUUCAGCCCAGAAAGCUGAACGAAUGGCUCUAACCUAGGCUUUAAAACUGGCAAAAGGGGCCAUAGCUAACUAUCAUCUACAAUGACAGCAGCUAUGCCUUUGCACGGCUCAUGUACAUGGGUCCAUAUACCAAGAGGGGAUUAUUGACUGCUGAAGGAAAAGCCAUCAAAAGUAAGGAAGAGAUAUUUACUUUAUUGGAGGCAUUAUGGCUUCAUCUCAAAGUGGCCAGGGAACAGAAAGGGACAACAGAAAUAGCUCAAGGUAACAGGCUAGCUGAUAAAGCCACAAGGGAGGCCACCCAAGCUUCCAAUGCCAACAUCUUGGUAGCCUUCCCACCCUCUGCUCCCAGCCAUCCCCGAAUAUACUGCUGAAGACAAACAAGAUCAGGCAAAAUGCCAAGGGGUUUACAGAAGCUGACCUCUGAAGGCUGAACCAUCCUACCUGAACCAUCCUACCUGAGGGAUUUGCAAAGCAAUUCACCCAUCAGAUUCAUCAAGCUUCACAUCUGGGUCACCGAAAACUGAAGGAACUGCUGCGAGGGGCAAGGUACAAAAUAUUUGACUUCGGACACUUGGUUGAUCAGGUAAUCUCACAUUGUCCCACCUCUCAGGCUGUGAACCCCUCAAUCAAGGAGAAUCAGGGGUCAACAGCCAGGGGCUAAUUGGGAACUAGAGCAUACAGAAAUAAAACCAGAAACACAUGGAUAUAAGCAUUUGCUAGUUUUUAUAGAUAACUUUUCCAAGAAUGGUAGCUUAUCCUACGAAGACUGCCAACCCAGUGGCAAAGGAGCUUCCGGAAGACAUCACACCCAGGCCCAGUUUGCCUGCCCUGCUUGGGAUGCAGUGGACCAGCAUCCAUCUCUCAGGUGAUGAAGUUUGGAUUAAGAGACAUAACCACAGACUCUGGGACCUUGCUGGAAAGGACCCCACACCAUGAUCCUCACCAUGCCUACAGAUGGGAUCAGGAUCUGGAUAUACCACUCCCACAUUAAGCCUUCCAGAAGAGAGACGACCCAGCAGUGGAGGUUCCACUGGAGGAGACUUCCAGAUGAACGGCCACAAGAACAAUGGAAGGUCACCCCAUACCCUAUCUACCAAAACUGCAACUCCAGUGCUCCUGAUCCUGCUUGCUUACUGCUUAAUGCUUUGCUGCACCAGCCACUAUCUCCUAAAUCUAACCUGGCAGUUAGUUAAUGCUGCAACGGGUAUGAGUGCCAACUCUACCUCCCACUUGGCUCCCCUAGACACCUGGAUUCAUGACCUUCAUGUAGACCUGUGUGACCAAGUGGGAUGAGGGAUGGGACCUCUCAGAUCAACAGCUCUUCCUGGUUACAGUUGCAACUUACCCAGGGCCAAAAGGAACACACAGUCUCAGGCUUUUUAUGUCUGCUCAGGGCACUCUGGGAAUCAGAGCCAGUGAACCAAAGGAGGUCCAGAGUCCUUUUUCUGUGUGACAUGGGGAUGGGAAUCUACUGGGUGGAUAAGCUGAAGUCCCCCAUCAAAGAUGACCUCAUCACUGUAACCUGGUUUGGGGAUACACAGACACUCAGUUUGGGUAUGCACAGACACUUAGAGCCUGGUCCUGCAUAAGAAAGGACACCCAGCCUCCUAGGAGAGAGACUUGCAGACCUUGUUUUGAGCCCCCUUACAAUCGGAUACCCCCAUGCAACAACCUUCUCAUAAAAUCCACGGCAGCAGGCAAGAAGGCUGAUUGGACUGCUGGUAAGACUUUAUACAUCCCUGACUGAUCCGGGACUCCUAUUUACUGUCCAACUGCUCCAUCAUAGCUUUGUUAAACCCACAGUCCCCUAAGGCCCCAACAAGGUAUUAGCAAGGCCCAAACCCACACUCCUCCCAACCUCUGCCUCUGCCUACCAUCACUCCCUCAUCAGGACCCACCACCCUUUCACCCCAACGAGAUCUCACUUCAUCUAACCAAAUGCUUCCUAGAACCAUUCCACCUCCUGCAGGGCCCACUUCACCACCAGAGUCAGGACCUGCAAUUAUUAGAAGCCACUUUCCAGAUUCUUAAUUGCUCUCACCUGGACUUAGCACAGGAUGGUUGGUUCUGCUUAAACGCUCAGCCCCAGUGCUAUGAAGGAGUAGCUAUCUCUGGAGACUAUUCACAGACUAUAGAUGUAGAUGGCAGCAACCAGAUAGAGGUAAGCUGACCCUAAAAUCAAUAAUGGGACAGGGACUCUGCAUUGGAAAUAACAUACCCUCAGCCUAUUACCACCUCUGCAACUGCACUGUAACCUCCAUCACUGCAGGAUACAUGCUGCCUCCAGAGAAUGCUUACCCCAUGAAUUUAUGGCCUGGUUGUAAAUACAACUGAUGGUUUACCGG